rnacentral:tRNA from 1 species
GCGCCCGUAGCUCAGUUGGAUAGAGCGCCUGAUUACGGAUCAGGAGGUCGGGGGUUCGAAUCCUCCCGGGCGCACCA